AUUGAACGCUGGCGGAAUGCUUUACACAUGCAAGUCGAACGGCAGUACGGACUUCGGUCUGGUGGCGAGUGGCGAACGGGUGAGUAAUACAUCGGAACGUGCCCAGUCGUGGGGGAUAACGUAGCGAAAGCUACGCUAAUACCGCAUACGAUCUACGGAUGAAAGCGGGGGAUCGCAAGACCUCGCGCGAUUGGAGCGGCCGAUGGCAGAUUAGGUAGUUGGUGGGGUAAAGGCUCACCAAGCCGACGAUCUGUAGCUGGUCUGAGAGGACGACCAGCCAAACUGGGACUGAGACACAGCCCAGACUCCUACGGGAGGCAGCAGUGGGGAAUUUUGGACAAUGGGCGCAAGCCUGAUCCAGCCAUUCCGCGUGUAGGAUGAAGGCCCUCGGGUUGUAAACUGCUUUUGUACGGAACGAAAAGGCUCUGGUUAAUACCUGGGGCUCAUGACGGUACCGUAAGAAUAAGCACCGGCUAACUACGUGCCAGCAGCCGCGGUAACAC
rnacentral:rRNA from 1 species